CCUACGGGUGGCAGCAGUGGGGAAUAUUGGACAAUGGGCGAAAGCCUGAUCCAGCCAUGCCGCGUGUGUGAAGAAGGCCUUCGGGUUGUAAAGCACUUUCAGUGGGGAAGAAAGCCUUGGGGCUAGUAAGCUCGAGGAAGGACAUCACCCUAAGAAGAAGCACCGGCUAACUCCGUGCCAGCAGCCGCGGUAAUACGGAGGGUGCGAGCGUUAUUCGGAAUUACUGGGCGUAAAGCGCGCGUAGGCGGUCUGAUAAGCCGGUUGUGAAAGCCCCGGGCUCAACCUGGGAACGGCAUCCGGAACUGUCAGGCUAGAGUGCAGGAGAGGAAAGUAGAAUUCCCGGUGUAGCGGUGAAAUGCGUAGAGAUCGGGAGGAAUACCAGUGGCGAAGGCGGCCUUCUGGACUGACACUGACGCUGAGGUGCGAAAGCGUGGGUAGCAAACAGGAUUAGAUACCCGUGUAGUC
rnacentral:rRNA from 1 species